rnacentral:lncRNA from 1 species
GACAAUGAUAUUUUACUUCCAUAAAUUUACAAAUUAUAAAAAUUUAUUAAAAAAGCAAAGGAAACUAAUAAAGGAACUUAGAUAAUGAUAUAUGUUCUAUGCUGGUGUUUUUUUAUAUUUGUUUUGUAGGUUAUCAAUGAUCAUGGAUCAUAUAUAAUGGGGUUUCAGUGAUCAACAGAGAUGGGAUGCAAUCAGGAGAAUCUAAGUUUUGCUAUGAUGAAGAAGAGACACAUGUUAAUCUUUUCAACCCAACUUGUCAACUCCUUUCGUAUUUAUUGAUAUCUAUAUCAUGACCCAUUUAUUGUGAUAUUUUAUUUUCUUGUCCUCUACCCAUUUUCCCAUUUAUUGUAUAUUUGUAUAUUACAUACAUGAACAUAUUUAAGAAGUGAUGUUUUUGGUGUCUCAUGCUGGUGGGAAUUCCUAGGUUUUUUAGGCUUUGUUUAUAUGGACAGAACAUGGUUCUAAAUUAUAUAUUCUCUAUAUGCAUAAUUUAUAAUUUCAGUAUUUUCUUUUGUUUUUUCUUUUAUCAUUUUAUUUUAAUGUAUUUCAUUAUAGAUUUAUGACCUUUAUUUUACAUUUCCUUUUUUCUUUCAGAAUGAUUUUAUGCAUGGAGGGGGAAUGCAUUUGAAACUUGGUUAUUGUACACAUGUUAGAUUUUUAAUAUGAAACUAAAAAAGAAAACGUGUUGCUAUGUAAGCUUUUUCAUUUUUUUCUUUUAUAUUGUAAUAACCUUAGCUAUGGCAAUGCUAUAUAUGUUUCAUUCAUAUAUAUAUGGAGUAAUUACACCAGAAUAAUAGCAAAGAUAAAUUACAACAUAAGAAAUGCUCAUUAAUCUAACUUAAUUUAAGACAACAAAUUAAUUAAACUCGAUUUCUUUAUAAGUAUAGUAAUUUCAAUUAACGUGUAUGCACAAAUAAAUUACUCUAAAGGUUUUAACUAUAUAGAUUAUUCUUAUUAAUUAUAUAUCCAACUUAAUCUAUGUCUUUUCUUCUUUCUUCUAUUAACUAUCUCCAAUUCUUCUAGCUAGUAUGAAAACUAUUAUGAUUUUUAUUAUUAGUGUAGUAAAAUUUAAUUAUUGUACAUUAAAUUUUGGAUUGCUAUUUCUUGUAACAUAUUCAUUUUUUCUAAAAUCAACAAAACCUUGUUGUUUUUAGAUUUUCACUCUUUAUUUUUAUAAAUGAUAAGUAUAUUUAAGUUAAUAGAUCUGAAAAAAGCAUACUAACUAAUUUAUUGCAGGUAUUUUGUGAUUUUGUUGUGGAUUAGAUAAGGCCUAGCACACUACAGAGAACAAUUUUAAUUGUAAGUCCAAUUGUUGAAUUCCUAAAUGUUGGUGUGAAUCCCAUACAAUGUUAAUGAUUUCUUUCACCUCUUAGCUUUUGAAUUUGGCAAGAUUUGGUGGUUAACCAGUGACUUGAAAGAGGAGGGUUGUUGGAGGCUACACAAGCAUGAACUUCAUGGAAAG